GAUGAACGCUAGCUACAGGCUUAACACAUGCAAGUCGCGGGGCAGCAUGGGGGUGGCUGGCAAUCCCCGAGGGGGACCGGCGCACGGGGGGGUACCGCGUAUCCAACCGGCCCUUCACCACGGGAUAACCCGCCGAAAGUGGGACUAAUACCGUAGGUGUUCCUUUAACGGCACCCGAUUGGGCCGAAAGGUUGGCCGGGAAGGAUGGGGGUGCGUCCGAUUAGCUGGACGGCGGGGUGACGGCCCACCGUGGCGACGAUCGGUAGGGGUUCUGAGAGGAAGGUCCCCCACACUGGAACUGAGACACGGUCCAGACUCCUACGGGAGGCAGCAGUGAGGAAUAUUGGUCAAUGGGCGUAAGCCUGAACCAGCCAAGUAGCGUGCAGGAUGACGGCCCUAUGGGUUGUAAACUGCUUUUAUGCGGGGAUAAAGUGGCCCACGUGUGGGUUUUUGCAGGUACCGCAUGAAUAAGGACCGGCUAAUUCCGUG
rnacentral:rRNA from 1 species